AACACAUGCAAGUCGAACGAUGAUAGAGAGCUUGCUUUUCUUGAUUAGUGGCGCACGGGUGAGUAAUGCAUAGAUAAUGUGCCCCUUAGUUCGGGAUAGCCACUGGAAACGGUGAUUAAUACCGGAUACUCCUUCUUGUUAUAAGACAAGUCGGGAAAGUUUUUCGCUAAGGGAUCAGUCUAUGUUCCAUCAGCUUGUUGGUGAGGUAAUGGCUCACCAAGGCUAUGACGGAUAUCUGGUUUGAGAGGAUGAUCAGACACACUGGAACUGAGACACGGUCCAGGCUCCUACGGGAGGCAGCAGUGAGGAAUAUUGCACAAUGGAGGAAACUCUGAUGCAGCAACGCCGCGUGGAGGAUGACGCAUUUCGGUGUGUAAACUCCUUUUAUUAGGGAAGAUAAUGACGGUACCUAAUGAAUAAGCACCGGCUAACUCCGUGCCAGCAGCCGCGGUAAUACGGAGGGUGCAAGCGUUACUCGGAAUCACUGGGCGUAAAGGGUGCGUAGGCUGGCUUUUAAGUCAGAUGUGAAAUCCAAUGGCUCAACCAUUGAACUGCAUUUGAAACUGAAAGCCUAGAGUUCAGAAGGGGCAGAUGGAAUUAGUGGUGUAGGGGUAAAAUCCGUAGAUAUCACUAGGAAUAUCAAAAGCGAAGGCGAUCUGCUGGGAUGAUAC
rnacentral:rRNA from 1 species